rnacentral:sRNA from 1 species
UUGCCCCAGCUAAGCAGCGAGAGCUUGCUGAAGCCCAGAGGGUUGUGGGACCAUGAGGGCAGCUCUCUGGACCCUGGGACUCGGGCCCCUUCUUUUCAAUCUCUGGGCAGUCCCCAUUGGUGGACCAGGUGCUCUGAGGCUGGCGUACAGACACAGCACGUGCGACCGAGUGGCGUUGGUCCGACACCACGGGGCAUGGGGAUACGUGUGCAACCAGCAGUGGAUGCUGGCAGAGGCCUCUGUCGUGUGCAGGCAGCUGGGCUGCGGCCCUGCCGUGGGCGCCCCCAAGUAUGUCCCGCUGCCUGGAGAGAUGGCCCAGCCCUGGCUUCACAACGUGUCCUGCCGGGGCAACGAGUCCUCCCUCUGGGAGUGCAGCCUUGGCUCAUGGUGCCAGAGCCCGUGCCCCCACGCAUGGGUGGUGGUCGCGCUGUGCUCCAAUGGCACUUUCCGGGAGCUCUGGCUGGUGAAGGGCCGCAGUCCCUGCGCGGGACUCCCCGAGAUCAGAAACGUGAAUGGGGUGGACCGCCUCUGUGGCCUGCAUGUGGAGGAGGCCAUGGUGUUCUGCCGAGAGCUGGGGUGCGGCCCUGUGCUCCAGGCCCCCCGCCGGGACGUGGGCGUCAUCAGGAAGUACCUGGCCUGCAGGGGUACCGAGCCCACCAUCCGCAGCUGCAGACUGGACAACAACUUCCGCAGCGGCUGCGACCUGCGGCUGGUCGCAGAGGUGGACUCCUCGGGUGACGCUGCCACCUGAUGUUCCCAGUGACCCUUGGGAUGAUGCUGGGCCUGGACCUGGGGAGGGCAGGGGGAAGGGGGGUGGGCGUUCCCACGGAUGGGCCCCCCUGUCCUGCAUGAGACAUUGGGCGCAGAGGUGGGAAAGGGCCUCAGCUCUCACGCUGGUUCUCAGCAGAGUGGAGCUGAGUUUCUGGUGGCCCCACAGAGGUGUCCUGGCUCAGAACCCGCAGGCCAUCUAGGGGUCCUGGCUGCCGCUGCAAGUCUGAGCCGCCUCAGCUGUGAUCUCUGCAUGUCUAACAUGGAUCGGGGUUGGGUAGAGGUCACUUCUUCCCAGCCCUGCCUCAAGUGUGUGUGAGAUGCACUGGUCUCACAGCUCCUGGCCUUGUUGUGCAUAUGAGGAGCAGCUGAAAUGAGGUGGAUAGUCUGCCUGCUGCGGUACCCCAGAGAGGGUGGUGCUCAGUGGACCAAGGGGUGCCCUGACCUCACCUCUGGGAUUGCAGAGGGUGUUGCUGUCAUGGCCCCGGACAGGCAGAGGCUGUGAAAUACGUGGGCACCUGCAGCAGGUGACCCUGACCCUGACCUUGGUGAUGCGGCCAAGGACGUCUGCUCUGCUCUGGGUGCCGGGUGGAAGGGCCUGUGGCUGCAAGUUCCUGCCUGUGCUUGGCAGACCCUCUGCCUAGUUGCAGGUGAUAGCCCCUGGCUGAAGCCUUCUGCAGUCUGAGGCUCAGGGCCAGGCUGUUGACCUGAGAACACCUGUCUCCUGCCUGAGAGGACGUCUGCCCCCAGGACACACCGAGGCCCGACUGGUGGGCGGCGAGCACCCCUGCGCCGGGCGCCUGGAGGUGAGGCGGGGCCUGACCUGGGGCACCGUCUGUGAUGCGGACCUGGACCUGGCCACGGCCCACGUGGUGUGCCGGGAGCUGCAGUGCGGGGCGGUCGUGUCCACACCCAAGGGUGCCCGCUUCGGCCGGGGCUCGGGGCCGGUGUGGACGGAGGCCUUCCGCUGUGUGGGCAACGAGUCGCUGCUGUUCCACUGCCCGCGGGGGCGCGGGAGCCAGUGUGGGCACGGCCACGACGCGGGGCUCAGGUGCUCAGAGUUCAGGAUGGUCAACGGCAGCAGCAGCUGUGAGGGCCACGUGGAGCUCCAGGUGCAGGGGUCCUGGGCACCCCUCUGUGCCACCCACUGGGACAUAGCAGAUGCCACCGUCCUCUGCCACCAGCUCAACUGUGGCAACGCGGUGGCCGCACCUGGAGGAGGCCAUUUUGGGGACGGGGACGCUGCCAUCUGGCCUGACGCCUUUCACUGUGAGGGGACAGAGCCCUACUUGUGGAAUUGCCCAGUAAGCACCCUGGGGGCCCCAGCCUGUGCCCCGGGAAACACAGCCUCCGCGGUCUGCUCAGGUCUGCCCCACGCCCUGCGACUGAGGGAAGGACAGAGCCGCUGUGACGGCCGCGUGGAGGUCUCCCUGGAUGGCGUGUGGGGCCGCGUCCUGGACGAUGCCUGGGACCUGCACGGCGCGGGCGUGGUGUGCCGGCAACUCGGGUGCGGAGGGGCCCAGCAAGCCUAUGACGCACCUGCCCCCAGCCGCGGAUCCGUCCAGGUGGCGCUGAGCCGCGUGCGCUGUCUGGGCACCGAAACCCGCCUGACUCAGUGCAACGUGUCCGCGACCCUGCAGGAGCCCGCGGGGACCUCGCGGGACGCUGGCGUGGUGUGCUCCGGUGAGGGCGGAACCGCGUCCCCCAUGGCCCGUCGCCACGGGAUCCCGGGCGCCCUGACUCUGUCUCUCCACAGGGAGCCUCAGGGUGCGGCUGGCCGCGGGGCCGGGGCGCUGUGCGGGGCGCGUGGAGGUGCUGCACGGGGGCGCGUGGGGCACCGUGUGUGGCGAUGCCUGGGACCUGCGGGACGCGCACGUGGUCUGCAGGCAGCUGGGCUGUGGCCGCGCCCUGAGCGCCCUGGGGGCCGCACACUUCGGAGCCGGGGCAGGGCGCAUCUGGCUGGACGAGCUGGGCUGCCAGGGCCACGAGUCUGCGCUGUGGCAGUGCCCGUCGGCGGGCUGGGGGCGGCACGACUGCAGGCACAAGGAGGACGCCGGCGUCUUCUGCUCAGAAAAGGCAGGAGAAGUUCCUGAGGACCCCGGGGAGCCCCUCAACUGCUCCUCCUCGCUCGGCUGCCCAGGUACCCCUCUGUCCUUGUCGCUGUCCUCCUUCCCAUCCCGGUCCAGCCCCCGCAGUGACCGCAGCCCCUUUUGCAGAGGAGGGCGCACUGCGCGUGCGCGGGGGCGAGGACCGCUGCUCCGGGCGCGUGGAGCUCUGGCACGCGGGCUCCUGGGGCACCGUGUGCGACGAUGGCUGGGACCUGGCGGACGCGGAGGUCGUGUGCCGCCAGCUGGGCUGCGGUCGGGCCGUCGCCGCCCUGGGGGCCGCCGCCUUUGGCCCUGGCUCCGGGCCCGUGUGGCUGGACGAGGUGGGGUGCCGGGGCAGCGAGGCGUCCCUGUGGGGCUGCCCUGCGGAGCGGUGGGGACGCGGAGACUGCGCGCACAAGGAGGACGCGGGCGUGCGCUGCUGGGAGCCUGGCCCAGGCCCCCCACUGCCUGCAGCUCCCUUCCGGACAUUCUGGGUGGUCAGUGUCGUCCUGGGAGCCCUUCUUGGUCUUCUCCUUCUGGGCCUCAUGGCCUUUCUGAUUCUGCCUCGAGUCACGCAAGCCAUGCAGAGGGGUCUGGGAAGAUCCGAGGUAUCUCCUGGAGAAGCCAUCUAUGAUGUCAUUGGGGAAAUGCCGCUAGCAGGACUGUACGAGGAAAUCACGGAGGCCGAGGCUGUGCUCCAAGAUGAGGAGGACGGAAGUGUGGUGAAGGUGGACACAGAAGCCGCAGUUUCAGGGGAGGUGUCUAACCUCCUGGAGGGACAGUCUAUACGUGCGGAGGGAGGACACAGCAGACCUGUUUCUCAGGGAUAUGACGAGGCUGCGUUUCCUCUGGAGGAGAUGACGUUGUAAAGCACCCUGAGGAUGAGAUACACCAGCUGGCUGUCGAAAUCACAGCUCUUCAUUUUCUUGUAAAAUUGUAGUGGAUUUCGUGAGAACACCUUGGAUGCCUUUCUCUUGCAAUGUCCUCCACGUCCAUAUAAAAUCCAGUCCUUCCAGGCCCUGCCUGGCUCUAACCCUCAUCCCCUUCGAGGGCCAUCUGCUGUGGACAGUCGUGCUGUGUAACCUUCAGAUUUCCCACACAUUACAGCAAAUGCAAAUACACAUAGAAAUCAGUGGUUCCAUUUGUGGUUUAGAGACACAUGGUGCCAUCUUCAUCUUCUGCUCCACAGCUCGCUUCUGGCACCCAGCAGUGGGUUGCAGAGCUCCCCAUGCCAGAACCUUCCUCUUUUUUCUUAAAAACUCUUCUUAAUUGAAUCCAAAGUAUCUUUUAAAUGUUCUACUUGUGUAAUCAUGUCAUCUGUGAAUAUUCAGAUUUAUCUUCUCCUUCCAGUCCGUGUACAUUUAAUCUCUUUUUCUGUGCCUUAUUUCGGGGGCUGGGACCCUUCAGUCCAGUGUUGAAGAGAGGCAGCCAGUGGAGGUCUUGUCUCAUUCAUGGACUCAGAGCAAAUGUGUUCCACAUUUAAUUUCACUAUGAAAUAUAAUAUUUGAUGUUCGGUUUUGUAGAUGCUAUUUAUCAGAUCAAGGAAAGCCCAGUCUAUACCUAAUUUGUUAAGGGUUUUGCUUUUUAUCAUAAGUGUUGACUUUUUCAAAUUCUUUUUUGUAUCUAUUAAGAUGAUAGAUGAUUGAUAUUCAUAUGUGAAAUUAACCAUGGGUUAAACAAACUUACCUUUAUCAUGAUAUAUUAUUCUUUUUGUAUUUCACAGGAAUUAGUUUGGUAAUAUGUUGGGUCAAUGUUUAAAAAAGAAAAUGAUGUGUAAUUUUUUUCUUUUGUUGUAGUAUUUCUGUUUAAUUUUUGGUAUGAGGAUUAUUCAGGUCUCAUAAGAGUUAGGAGUAUAUUCUCUUUUAAAAAAUAUUUGCUAAUUUACACUCCCACCAACAGUGUCAAAGUGUUCUUAUUUCUCCACAUCCUGUCCAGCAUCUGUUGUUUCCUGACUUUUUAAUAAUCGCCAUUCUAACUGGCAUGAGAUGAUAUCUCAUUGUGGUUUUGAUUUGCAUUUCGCUAAUGACCAGUGAUGAUGAACUUUUUUUCAUAUGUUUGUUGGCUGCAUAAAUGUCUUCUUUUG